rnacentral:sRNA from 1 species
GAAAGGCUCUUAGCAAGAGUAUUUCGAAAUUUCUAAGUGUGCUAAGUGUGGAGGUUGUCUUGGCCUGUGAAAGAAGAGAGGGAUUCCAAGAAACUAGAGUUCUACCAAGGUUGUGGAAGAGAUCAAGUUAAAGUGUUCAAGGCAAAAGGUUCCUCGUUACUCACCCUGAAAUGUUGUGGUUGUGGUUUCCACCUACGAUGAUCGUACUUGUACGGGAGUAGAUGGCGUUGCAGAUGAGGCAGAGAUGAAGUAGCACGACGAGAGUUAUGGGAAUGACUAUGGGGGACUUAUCAUGUUUUAAGUAAUUUUAUGUUUUUGAAUAUUGAAUUUGAUAUUUGUAAGGUUUUAACUUUAUGUUGUAAGACGCUUAAACUUUAUGUUGUAAGACGCUUA